rnacentral:rRNA from 1 species
CAGUAGCCACGGUAAUACGUAGGGUGCGAGCGUUAAUCGGAAUUACUGGGCGUAAAGCGAGCGCAGACGGUUACUUAAGCAGGAUGUGAAAUCCCCGGGCUCAACCUGGGAACUGCGUUCUGAACUGGGUGACUAGAGUGUGUCAGAGGGAGGUAGAAUUCCACGUGUAGCAGUGAAAUGCGUAGAGAUGUGGAGGAAUACCGAUGGCGAAGGCAGCCUCCUGGGAUAACACUGACGUUCAUGCUCGAAAGCGUGGGGAGCAAACAGGAUUAGAUACCCCCGUAGUCCCUGUCUCUUAUAC